CAGGCAGGGGACAUGGCUCAGUGGGUGAAGACACGUGCUUCCACACCUGAUGACCUGAGUUCAAUCCCGGAGGACCUACCUGGUGGAAGGAGAGAACCGACUUCCACAAGGUGUCUUCUGACCUCCACAUUGGUGCUUUGCACCCCUCCCAAUAACUAAAAAUGUGAGCUCAUGAUCCAGGUAGGGUGUACCAGAAAAUGUGCACACAAAGAUGGGCAGCCGGAAAACACAUCAGGGCACACGAGAUGGCUCGCCUGUAAAGGCCCUGAUACCAAGGCUCACUGCCUGAGUUCGAUCCCUGGGAUCCAUGGUUGGGGACAGCUGACUCCUGCAAGUUGUCCUCUGACCUCCACAUGAAUGCCGUAGCGUAUGAGUGCCCACACACACUCAUAAAUAGAAAAAAUAAAUGUAAUAAAAAAAGAGAAAACAUGAAA